UAAAAAUGUCACACGACACCUUUUUGUAUGCGUCAAAGUUAUAAUAACGCGUAUAGAUAACCGUGCACAUGAUCAGAAAUAAGUUCAGUUGGUAAAAACAAACUUACAUGGGAUGUCACUCUGUCUAACUAGCGUCGAAACAACUAAAUGAUUAGGCCUAAAUCUUGUAAGAGGUUUGGUUGGUGCAUUGCGCCCCCUGCUGGUUAUAGUUCACGGUGUGGCUGUGGAGCCCCUGGUGCCCUGAUGUACCGUGGAAAAACUGAAGACAUCCACGACUGACAACGUCGUCACCAAACUCUGAGAACACAAGCUCCACGUCGACAUUCUUCCAGCUGCAUAUAGUGAACUGCACAGGACUGGGGAAGAAAAGGUAAAAGCGGCGGUCACCACCGAGCGCUGCAAGUCCGCAGACGGACAUGAACCGCAGUGAAAACAGGCGUUUGCACUGUGGACCCGGCCGUGGCCUGCCAUAUCCUCAUAUCGCUUUCUGCUUUUGCAUUUUAUGAUCAAGUCUACUUGCCCCUCGUGUUGGAUUGCAGCUGGUCCCUGGCGUUUACCUACAUCAGGUACAGUAUGAUUUGCAGAACUUACUUUGCCUUUAUCAUAUUACUUCUUGUGUAAAUAAUUGUCAGUGUAAAGACUGAGACGUGACACUGUGUGUUUUCUUGGAUUAUUUUGCACUUCUAAAGUUGCUGUCAGUUGAUGUGGCAAGUGCCCGAACUACCUUCAAACUGACAGAAUUUAAUACUCCUGGAGCUUUCUGCUCUUUCCUCGCUGCUAUCAUCUAUCUGCAUUGUUUAGUGACUAGCUCAUUCUCUAGGGCCUGCUCAAUUCAUAAAGUUGUUCAAGCUCAACAGGUAGAUUCAGUGACACACCGGCACAGGAGUGAAAUAAUCCCAGUGAAGUGGAAACUUCAAACAUGUCAGCUCACAAUGAGGCUGGUUCAUAUGUUCACUUUGCAACCAGAUGGCCAAGCUUAAAGAGGUAAAUAAACACAUUUUAGGAUUUGUUCUGGUGGGACGUCCUGCGGGAUCAACUAUUGCACAUGCCCAAGUAAUAUUUAGCCGUUUAAUGAUUUCUGUGGAAAGCUGACAAUGAGUAAAAAGACUCCAUCUGGCCUGCUUUACCUGUGUGACUCUCGGGAGGACCCACCACACAGCAAGCCUGUUUGAAGGCCCAGUCCUUGAAGAAUUCAAGCCUUUGCCAUUUCUUGUACUCUUGUCUUACACAAACCACACAAGCGAUUUUCUCUCCUGCAUUAAAAUGUUUUGAGUAGAGGUUAAUGCAAUGAAAAAUACCCCAACAUAAUCAAAAUGGAUACCUUGUUUUCCUUGCUUUGUGUGCCUUUAAUACAGGUUAAAGGAGCACCCAGUCGUGAGGAGGAUAAGCACAAGGACAAACCUAUGAGGUGGCACUGUGGCUUUCCAAAUAAAGUUCUGUGAUACACUUAGACUCUAAUUGCACGCAGUCAGUGCAUUACAGAACUUUGUUUGGGGAGAUCAAUUCUCAAACAACCGGACAUUUAAGUGUACAGCACGAUGUAAUUCCUGUUGACAAAUCAACUGUUUUCUCAAAUAAAGUUUCUCUCUCUCUUUUGGGCAUUUCCAUAGCCUGUGUCUUUUUUUCUUCCUUUUUUUUUGAGAAUUCAUAAAGGGCUCAUUGGUAUUUGAAUGUGACUAAAGUAGUGGAGGAGUUUCUUAUUAUUUGUGUAGUGAAAAUGUGUGCAGUCAUUACUUAAAGAGCACUGCUGUGUGCCAUAUGGAAACAGUAGUCACACUGGUCAGAUAACUGAGUCGAGGUGAGGCAGAAAGGUAAACAGUUCACAUUGUUUCAGGUUUGAAAAAGACGCCGCAAAUCUUUCACAGGAGGAAUACUGACAGUAGGCUAUGUCCGUUUAAUAAGUGCAUAUAUAAGACAAAAACCAUUUAGUCACAACUU